GAGGAAUAUUGGACAAUGGAUGGAAAUCUGAUCCAGCCAUGCCGCGUGCAGGAAGACGGCCCUAUGGGUUGUAAACUGCUUUUCUACGGGAGCAAUAAGGUCUACGCGUAGACUGAUGAGAGUACCGUAGGAAUAAGCAUCGGCUAACUCCGUGCCAGCAGCCGCGGUAAUACGGAGGAUGCGAGCGUUAUCCGGAUUUAUUGGGUUUAAAGGGUGCGUAGGCGGCUUUUUAAGUCAGCGGUGAAAUUUUGCAGCUUAACUGUAACAGUGCCGUUGAUACUGGGGAGCUAGGAUUUGGUUGCUGUGGGUGGAAUGUGUGGUGUAGCGGUGAAAUGCUUAGAGAUCACACAGAAUAUCGAUUGCGAAGGCAGCUCACAAAGCCAAGAUUGACGCUGAGGCACGAAAGUGUGGGGAUCAAAC
rnacentral:rRNA from 1 species